rnacentral:rRNA from 1 species
GAGUUUGAUUAUGGCUCAGAACGAACGCUGGCGGCGCGCUUAAGCAUGCAAGUCGGACGGCAAGGGGAGCUUGCUCCCCCUAGAGUGGCGGACUGGUGAGUAACGCGUGGGUGACACCCUUGAGAUGGGAUAGCCAUUAGAAAUAGUGGAUAAUACCGAAUACGCUCUUUUUUGCUGUGGCGAGAAGAGGAAACAGGCUACGGCCUGGCUCGAGGAUGGGCCCGCGUCCCAUUAGCUAGUUGGUGAGGUAACGGCCCACCAAGGCGAACGAUGGGUAUCCGGCCUGAGAGGGUGUACGGACACAUUGGGACUGAGAUACGGCCCAAACUCCUACGGGAGGCAGCAGCUAAGAAUAUUCCGCAAUGGACGAAAGUCUGACGGAGCGACGCCGCGUGGAUGAAGAAAAGGCCGAAAGGUUGUAAAAUCCUUUUGCUGAUGAAGAAUAAGUGGUGUAGGGAAUGACAUCAUGAUGAACAUUAGUCGGUGAAUAAGCCCCGGCUAACUACGUGCCAGCCGCCGC